CCGGCGCACGGGUGAGUAACGCGUAUGCAACCUGCCUGAUACCGGGGUAUAGCCCAUGGAAACGUGGAUUAACACCCCAUAGUACUUUUAUCCUGCAUGGGAUGUGAGUUAAAUGUUCAAGGUAUCGGAUGGGCAUGCGUCCUAUUAGUUAGUUGGCGGGGUAACAGCCCACCAAGACGAUGAUAGGUAGGGGUUCUGAGAGGAAGGUCCCCCACAUUGGAACUGAGACACGGCCCAG
rnacentral:rRNA from 1 species